rnacentral:rRNA from 1 species
AGAGUUUGAUCAUGGCUCAGAUUGAACGCUGGCGGCAGGCCUAACACAUGCAAGUCGAGCGGUAGAGAGAAGCUUGCUUCUCUUGAGAGCGGCGGACGGGUGAGUAAUGCCUAGGAAUCUGCCUGGUAGUGGGGGAUAACGUUCGGAAACGGACGCUAAUACCGCAUACGUCCUACGGGAGAAAGCGGGGACGGCCUUGCGCUAUCAGAUGAGCCUAGGUCGGAUUAGCUAGUUGGUGGGGUAAUGGCUCACCAAGGCGACGAUCCGUAACUGGUCUGAGAGGAUGAUCAGUCACACUGGAACUGAGACACGGUCCAGACUCCUACGGGAGGCAGCAGUGGGGAAUAUUGGACAAUGGGCGAAAGCCUGAUCCAGCCAUGCCGCGUGUGUGAAGAAGGUCUUCGGAUUGUAAAGCACUUUAAGUUGGGAGGAAGGGCCAUUACCUAAUACGUGAUGGUUUUACGUUACCGACAGAAUAAGCACCGGCUAACUCUGUGCCAGCAGCCGCGGUAAUACAGAGGGUGCAAGCGUUAAUCGGAAUUACUGGGCGUAAAGCGCGCGUAGGUGGUUUGUUAAGUUGGAUGUGAAAUCCCCGGGCUCAACCUGGGAACUGCAUUCAAAACUGACUGACUGAGUAUGGUAGAGGGUGGUGGAAUUUCCUGUGUAGCGGUGAAAUGCGUAGAUAUAGGAAGGAACACCAGUGGCGAAGGCGACCACCUGGACUGAUACUGACACUGAGGUGCGAAAGCGUGGGGAGCAAACAGGAUAGAUACCCUGGUAGUCCACGCCGUAAACGAUGUCAACUAGCCGUUGGGAGCCUUGAGCUCUUAGUGGCGCAGCUAACGCAUUAGUUGACCGCUGGGGAGUACGGCCGCCAAGGUAAACUCAAAUGAAUGACG